UACAGAGGGUGCGAGCGUUAAUCGGAAUUACUGGGCGUAAAGGGCGCGUAGGCGGCCUGCUAAGUCGAACGUGAAAUCCCCGAGCUCAACUCGGGAACUGCGUCCGAUACUGGCGGGCUUGAAUCCGGGAGAGGGAUGCGGAAUUCCAGGUGUAGCGGUGAAAUGCGUAGAUAUCUGGAGGAACACCGGUGGCGAAGGCGGCAUCCUGGACCGGCAUUGACGCUGAGGCGCGAAAGCUAGGGGAGCAAACGGG
rnacentral:rRNA from 1 species